CGCGGGGUGGAGCAGCACGGUAGCUCGUCGGGCUCAUAACCCGAAGGUCGCAGGUUCAAAUCCUGUCCCNGGAG
rnacentral:tRNA from 1 species